GAUGAACGCUGGCGGCGUGCUUAACACAUGCAAGUCGAACGGAAAGGCCGAAGCUUGCUUCGGUACUCUAGUGGCGAACGGGUGAGUAACACGUGUGUGAUCUGCCCUGUACUUCGGGAUAAGCUUGGGUAACUGGGUCUAAUACCGGAUAUGACGAUCUCUUGGAUGGGGUUGUGGAAAGCUUUUGCGGUUUGGGAUGAGCUCGCGGCCUAUCAGCUUGUUGGUGGGGUAAUGGCCUACCAAGGCGUCGACGGGUAGCCGGCCUGAGAGGGUGUACGGCCACAUUGGGAGUGAGAUACGGCGCAGACGAGGAAGGGAGGCAGAAGUGGGGAAUAUUGCACAAUGGGGGCAAGCGUGAUGCAGCGAGGAGGCGGGGGGGAUGACGGCGUUAGGGUUGUAAACACAAAUGGAAAUAGACGAAGCCAUUUGGUGACGGUAGGUUGAGAAGAAGCACCGGCUAACUACGUG
rnacentral:rRNA from 1 species